AAAUAAGAAGUAAAAUUUUUACAUAUUAAUUUCGACUUAAUAAUUGAUUAAUAAUCCUUAUUUU
rnacentral:tRNA from 1 species